UCCUAUAGCAUGGCGCUAACAAAAUAGAUCCCAUUAGAACUCUACAGUUAACCACACUCAGGAUAGAGUAGUACUGGGAUGGGUGACCAUCCGGGAAGUUCGAGUGUUUUAGGUG
rnacentral:rRNA from 1 species